rnacentral:rRNA from 1 species
GUGGAUUAGAUACCCUGGUAGUCCACGCCCUAAACGAUGUCUACUAGUUGUCGGGACUUAAUUGUCUUGGUAACGCAGCUAACGCGUGAAGUAGACCGCCUGGGGAGUACGGUCGCAAGAUUAAAACUCAAAGGAAUUGACGGGGACCCGCACAAGCGGUGGAUGAUGUGGAUUAAUUCGAUGCAACGCGAAAAACCUUACCUACCCUUGACAUGGUUGGAAUCCCGAAGAGAUUUGGGAGUGCUCGCAAGAGAACCAAUACACAGGUGCUGCACGGCCGUCGUCAACU